GAUGAACGCUGGCGGCGUGCCUAAUACAUGCAAGUCGAGCGAACAGACGAGGAGCUUGCUCCUCUGAUGUUAGCGGCGGACGGGUGAGUAACACGUGGAUAACCUACCUAUAAGACUGGGAUAACUUCGGGAAACCGGAGCUAAUACCGGAUAACAUGUUGAACCGCAUGGUUCAACAGUGAAAGACGGUCUUGCUGUCACUUAUAGAUGUAUCCGCGCCGCAUUAGCUAGUUGGUAAGGUAACGGCUUACCAAGGCAACGAUGCGUAGCCGACCUGAGAGGGUGAUCGGCCACACUGGAACUGAGACACGGUCCAGACUCCUACGGGAGGCAGCAGUAGGGAAUCUUCCGCAAUGGGCGAAAGCCUGACGGAGCAACGCCGCGUGAGUGAAGAAGGUCUUCGGAUCGUAAAACUCUGUUAUUAGGGAAGAACAAAUGUGUAAGUAACUAUGCACGUCUUGACGGUACCUAAUCAGAAAGCCACGGCUAACUACGUG
rnacentral:rRNA from 1 species